GCUGUCCCCUCCCCCAAAAUGGACCCCCCCUCCCCUCCCCUCCCCUCAAAUCCAGCACCUCUCCUGCUUCAGGGCGAACUCCAACAUCUUGAUGCGCCGCACCAAAUCCGUCUUCAGGUUCUCCUGGCCUUUCCGUUCGCCCUGCAGGAAGGCCAGCUGCGCCUGGGGGGGGACAAUUUGGGGACAAUUUGGGGACAACGUUGGGGACAACGCGACACCCGGGUGAGGACAGCAUGGGGAUAAAGGGGGGAGGGGGGUAAAGGGGACGGCGGUGUCCCCAGGGUUCGGUUAUGGUGCUUUGGUGACAGCGCUGCGCAGAUAUUGGGGACAGCAGUGUCCCCAAGGUGCCACCUCAUGGGUGACAGCAGUGUCCCCAAGGUGCCAUUGCUGUCCAUGGGUGCCAGAGGUGACAGCAGUGUCCCCAAGCACCACCUCAUGGGGGACAGCAGUGUCCCCAGGGUGCCAUAGCUGUCCUGUGGGUGCCAGAGGUGACAGCAGUGUCCCCAAGGCGCCAUUGCUGCCCCACAUCCCCACCAGUUCCCAAGACCCCACAUGUUUACCCACACCCCCAUAUCUCCAUAUCUGCCCCACAUCCCACAUCUGCCCCACAUCCCACAUCUGCCCCACAUCCCACAUCUGCCCCCACGCCCCCCAUCUGCCCCACAUCCCUUCUUCCCCCCAUCUGCCCCACAUCCCCACGUGUUCCCACAACCCCAAAUCUUUACCCACACCCACAU
rnacentral:lncRNA from 1 species